GUUCGGAGUUGGGCUGUAGAGCGACUAUGGGCGCACGCCGGGUAUCCGCGCCGCAGCCAGGCUCGGAGCGCGCGGCUGGAGGGGCGCGGGCGGCGCGCGCUCCAGAGAUGCCUUCCUGCGAGGCUCCGUCAGCGCGGCCCGGGGAGAUCGCCCGCAGGCAGCGGAGGCGCGGCGGGCCGGGGGACGACCAGGGAGCCCCUAACAAAGCAGCUUUGGGAGGGCCGGAGGCCUCUGCCUCCCUCGGCGAUAGGUCCGCGAAGCUGCCUGUCAUCUCGCAUAGGUGGAGGUGGCCAAUGGCGUGCACAGACGGAGCUCUAGUUGGCGCGCGCGCGCGGCUCGGCAUCGGUGGGAUUGGUCGGAGGGUCUUGCUCUGCCACCCAGGCUAGAGUACAAUGGUGGAACUCGACUCACUGCAACUUCUGCCUCCCGGAUUCAAGCGGUUCUCCUGCCUCAGCCUCUCAAGUAGCUGGGAUUCCAGGCGCAUGCCACCAUGCCCAGCUAAUUUUUUGUACUUUUAGUAGAGACGAGGUUUCACCAUGUGGCCCAGGCUGGUCUUGAACUCCUGAGCUCAGCUGAUCCGCCCGCCUCAGCCUCCCAAAGUGCUAGGAUUACUGGUGUGAGCCACCGUGCCCAGACACUUUGGGGUUUUUUGUUUGUUUGUUUUUGUUUUUGAGACAAGGUCUCACUCUGUUGCCCAGGCUGGAGUACAGUGGCGUGAUCUCAGCUCACUGCAACCUCCACCUCCUGGGUUCAAGCGAUUCUCCUGCCUCAGCCUCCCAAGUAGCAGCGACUACAGGCACGCGCCAUCAUGCCCGGAUAAUUUUUUUGUAUUUUUUUUGGUAGGGAUAGCGUUUCACUGUGUUGGCCAGGCUGGUCUCAAACUCGUGGCCUCAAGUGAUCUGCCCACCUCGGCCCCCCAAAGUGCUGGGAUUACAGGCAUUAGCCACCGCACCAGGCCACGUCAUCACUUCUUUGAAAAUGCAAAACCACCUGGGAAGAAUAACAAUAUUAAAAACAACUGCUUGGUAAAGGAAUUUGUUUAAUCAAGGCUUUCUUACCUGAGGACAGAUUUUUGGGAGUCGGGUGAAAGGACCUAGAAAAGAAAUCAAGAAGUCAGGAUAUUUUCCCAGCAAUGAUAGGUCUUCAAUUAUAAAGAAGAGAGCAAGGAAGCCUCAAUAUGCAAACUAGCAUAUCCAACUAAUACAGAUAAACUCAAGGUCAGAGAGGCAGGACUGGGCAAAUCAGGCCACACUACAUUCACAGAGCUAAGCAGUGCCCCCUCUUUGUAAUUUGCUUUAUUGCAUUUUAUUUUCUGUGUUUUCACUGAAAUGGCAGUUUAUGGAGAAACUCUCCCACUUGGCUGUGAACAGGCUCUAAGCAACAGCAACACUUCUGCAGAAUUGGCAGGGACAGUGCUAUGGAAUAUUUCACAAACUUCAAGGCAAAGGGACAAACAAACAACCAAAAAAAAAAAAAAAAAACACCCUCAAAAUGUAUUUUCAGAGGAAAGAACUUUCACUGGGAAGGGACCCAUGGAUCUCCAAAAGAAAACCAAUUUGGUUUCAUUUUUUUCUGCUUCUGCACUCCAGCCUGAUGAUUAAUUCAUCAGCAUGGGACAGAACAAAAGCUCCUCUUAAACUGUAACUACUACAUGGGGUGGGUUUCUAUGAUGAUGUUGCAGAUCUUGGCCUAAUGGGCUUUCUCUUCACUGACACACAAGGUUCAAUAUUCCUGCCCCACCCACCAUGAGGUGAGAGUUGAAGCUGCCCCCUUUCCCACCUCCUCCAGCGCCCGGACAAGGCACGAUGCAGGGACACGCAGGGCACGUGCCUGCAACUCCACCUGCCUCAAACCAUGUGUUUACUCUCUAUCCUGUAGAAGUGUCAUCGCUCCCCCAGCCUAACAGAAUGACAUGGAAAAGGCUGGAAUGUAGCCACACUGCCUCAGCAAAACAAUCCCUAGGCUUAGAGACGCUGCUGUCCACAGGCAAGCAAACUGGGACAGUGGAGCCACAGAAAUGUGCCUCUCUUCUUGGGGGUAGGGUGACAGCUUCAGUUUCUAUCUAUAUGGAGUUAUUGCCCUUUCUCUGUCUCUCUCUCUCUCUCCCCCACCUCUCUCCUUCUCUCCCUCUCCCUAAAGAGGCAGUAGUUAAAGGCAAAGAGCCUGGUGAUUAAAAAGCAGACUCUGCCCUAAAUCAGACCUUUCUUCUGUCCCUUACCAGCUGUGUGACCUUGGCAAGUUAGUUAACAUCUCUGUGCUUCAUUGCCCUCAUCUGUAAAAUGAGGCUUAUAGGCCGGGCACGGUGGCUCACGCCUGUAAUCCCAGUACUUUGGGAGGCCGAGGCGGGCAGAUCACAAGGUCAGGAGAUCGAGACCAUCCUGGCUACCAUGGUGAAACCCCAUCUCUACUAAAAAUACAUAAAAAAAAAAAAUUAGCUGGGCGUGGUGGUGGGCUCCUGUAGUCCCAGCUACUCGGGAGGUUGAGGCAGGAGAAUGGCGUGAACCCAGGAGGCAGCGCUUGCAGUGAGCCAGGAUCACGCUCACUGCACUCCAGCCUGGGAGACAGAGCGAGACUCCGUUUCAAAAAAAAAAAAAUGAGGCUUAUAAUAGUAGUGUACUUCUGAUAGGGAUGUUAUAGGGAUGGAAUGAGUUGAUGCAGUAAAGAACUUAGUACCUGGCCUGUGUUAGAGACACUAUGGAUCCCUGGCUCAUCUACAAAAAGCCAGACUCACUAUCCAAAGGCAUAGUAAGGCCAGGUGUAGUGGCCUCCCAAAUCCUAGCACUUUGGGAGGCCAAGGUGGGCAGGUCACUUGAGGUCAGGAGCUUGAGACCAGCCUGACCAACAUAGUGAAACCUCAUCUCUACAAAAAAUACAAAAAUUAGCAGGGCAUGGUGAUGGACACUUGUGGUCCUGGCUACUCAGGAGGCUGAGGCAGGAGAAUCGCUUGAACCUGGGAGGCAGAGGUUGCAGUGAGCCGAGAUUGCACCACUGCACUCCAGCCUGGGCGACAGAGUAAGACUCAGUCUCAAAAAAAUAAAAUAAAUGCGUACUAGGUUCCUCUCUCUAGAGCCCCCAAAAGUCUCCUGAAAUCAACCUGUCCAUAAUCUCAUCAUAUUCACCCCACCCCAUUCCCCAAACAAGAAUAAACAAAUCCCACUGAUCUCUUCUUCCAUUUUUCAGACAGGCAGUUCUUAGCCUUACCAUCUAAUGGAGGUACUGCCCAGGCUGGAAGAAUGGGAGGCAGCUUUGACUUAACCUCCCCCUUUACCUUUCAUCUGAUAAAUGCUGAAGCAGUUUCUGGAUCUCUCUUCAGAAUGACUCUGGACCCCAUUUCUCCACAGGCCUCUGCUGCUCCCUGAGCCUCCUUUAUUUUAGAUUUUAGAUUUAGGACAGGGUCUCGCUCUGUCACCCAGGCUGGAGUGUGGUGGCACGAUCACGGCUCACUGCAGCCUUAACUUCCCAGGUUCAAGUGAUCCUCCCGCCUCAACCUCCUGAGUAGCUGGGACUACAGGCAGGAGCUACCAAGCCUGGCCAAUUUUUUAAUUUUUUUGUAGAAAGGGAGGUCACAUUAGGCUCCCCAGGCUGGUCUUGAACUCCUGUGCUCAAGCAGUCCUCCCACCUCCAUCUCCCAAAGUGCUGGGAUGACAGGUGUGACACACCGCGCCCCGAGCCUUCUUUAGAAGGUACAGAAUGUGCACUGAUUAGAGAUGUGUGGUGAUUUAACAAACAUUUAAAACUGCCUGUUUUGUGCAAUGUAACAGACCGGGGCUGAAGGAAAGGAGAAAUACAGAGACACACUACAGACACACAUAGUGAUAGAGGAGGGUCAGCAGGGAAAGCAAGAACCAACAUACUGCCAGGCCAGGCAGCUCAGCGCUGUGCAGGGGCUGAUGUGGUGAGCACUUGCUUCAGUUUCCCACAUCAGCAAUGUCCUCCCGAUGAUGGUGCCCAACAGCAGGGUCCUUAGAUAGUAAGGCUAAGAACUGCCUGCCUGGGAAACCAAAGAAGAGAUCAGUGGGAUUUGUUUGUUCUCGUUUGGGGAAUGGGGUGGGGUGGAUAUGAGAUGACGGACAGGUUGAUUUCAGGAGAUUUUUGGGGGGCUCUAGGAAGAGAAUCCUAGUAUGCCUUUUAAUUUUAUUUUUUUUUUAGACUGAAUCUCACUCUGUUGAGGUUUGAGUUUACUAAUUAAGUACUAUAUUACUUGCUGCAGGCCACCAUAACAGAAUACCUUAGACCGCGUGGCUUAAACAGCAGACAUUCACUGUCUCCCAGUUCUGGAGACUAGAAGUUCAAGAUCAAGGUGCCAGCAGAUUUGGUUUCUCCCAAGGCCUCUCUUCUUGCCAGCCAAGAAGAGAGGCCUUCUUGCCUUCUCGCUGUGUCCUCACGUGGCCAGGUGUCUCUCUAUGUCCAAACUUCCUCUUCUUAUAAGGACACCAGUCAGAUUGGAUUAGGGCCCACCAUCAUGGCCUCAUUUUCACUGAAUCACCUCUUUAAAAGGCUUAUCUCUGGCCAGGCGCGGUGGCUCACGCCUGUAAUUCCAGCACUUUGGGAGGCUGAGGUGGGCUGAUGAUGAGGUCAGGAGAUCGAGACCAUCCUGGUGAAAUCCCAUCUCUACUAAAAAUACAAAAAUAGCUGGGUGUGGUGGCACAUGCCUGUAGUCCCAGCUACUCGGGAAGCUGAGGCAGGAGAGUCCCUUAAACCAGGGAGGCAGAGGUUGCAGUGAGUUAAGAUUGCGCCACUGCACCCCAGCCUGGCGACAGAGCAAGACUCCAUCU
rnacentral:lncRNA from 1 species